CCUACGGGUGGCAGCAGUGAGGAAUAUUGGUCAAUGGCCGGGAGGCUGAACCAGCCAAGUCGCGUGAGGGAAGAAGGCCCUACGGGUUGUAAACCUCUUUUGUCAGGGAGCAAGGUGCAGGUCGGGAACUGCUGUGACAGUACCUGAAGAAAAAACAUCGGCUAACUCCGUGCCAGCAGCCGCGGUAAGACGGAGGAUGCGAGCGUUAUCCGGAUGUAUUGGGUUUAAAGGGGGCGCAGGCGGAGGCACAAGUCAGCGGUAAAAGGGCGGGGCUCAACCCCGCUCCGCCGUUGAGACUGUGUCCCUUGAGUGCGCGAAGGGUAGGCGGAAUGCGUGGUGUAGCGGUGAAAUGCAUAGAUAUCACGCGGAACUCCGAUCGCGAAGGCAGCUUACCGGCGCGCAACUGACGCUCAUGCACGAAAGCGUGGGUAUCGAACAGGAUUAGAUACCCUUGUAGUC
rnacentral:rRNA from 1 species